GACGAACCGUGCGAACGUUAUUCGGAAUCACUGGGCUUAAAGCGCGCGUAGGCGGACGGGCACGUCGGACCCUGAAAGCCCCCGGCUCAACCGGGGAACUGGCGCCGAUACGACCCGUCUGGAGGGACGUAGGGGGACCUGGAACUUCCGGUGGAGCGGUGAAAUGCGUUGAGAUCGGAAGGAACGCCCGUGGCGAAAGCGAGGUCCUGGACGUCUGCUGACGCUGAGACGCGAAAGCUAGGGGAGCGAACGGG
rnacentral:rRNA from 1 species